rnacentral:lncRNA from 1 species
CUUUUGGUGCGGAGAGUGGUUUGGUGGUGGUUUGGGAGACUUGGACUGUGGUGAUAAUUUUGGACUUGGAUACUGGUGACAUUUUGGACUUGGAUUCUGGCAAAGGUUUGGACUCACCAUUAAUUAUCUUCAAUUUGUCUUUUUCUACCUACUCAUUUUCAUUGCCGUUUAUUUACCUUUUAAAGGUUUUGUUAAUAAACAUUAAGCAUAAAGUAGGACAGUUCCCUAAAACAUUUCCUAAUAUGCACAUAAUGUACUUUAAUAAUAUUCACCUAAUCUAAGAGCCUGUACCCCAGUCCCUUCUUUCUUCUUUACAUUCCCAAUCAAUCCCCCCUUUUUUUAAAUUAGGUAUUUUCCUCGUUUACAUUUUCAAUGCUAUCCCAAAGGUCUCCC